AGAGUUUGAUCAUGGCUCAGGAUGAACGCUGGCGGCGUGCCUAACACAUGCAAGUCGAGCGAGAAGGUUAUGAUAGAUUCUUCGGAUGAUAGAUUAACUGGAAAGCGGCGGACGGGUGAGUAACGCGUGGGUAACCUGCCCCAUACACAGGGAUAGCCAUUGGAAACGAUGAUUAAUACCUGAUAACACAUUUGAAUCGCAUGAUUUGAAUGUCAAAGAUUUAUCGGUAUGGGAUGGACCCGCGUCUGAUUAGCUAGUUGGUAAGGUAAUGGCUUACCAAGGCGACGAUCAGUAGCCGACCUGAGAGGGUGAUCGGCCACACUGGAACUGAGACACGGUCCAGACUCCUACGGGAGGCAGCAGUGGGGAAUAUUGCACAAUGGGCGCAAGCCUGAUGCAGCAACGCCGCGUGAACGAAGAAGGCUUUCGGGUCGUAAAGUUCUUUUCUUAGGGAAGAAAAAUGACGGUACCUAAGGAAUAAGCACCGGCUAAAUACGUGCCAGCAGCCGCGGUAAUACGUAUGGUGCAAGCGUUAUCCGGAAUCACUGGGCGUAAAGGGUACGUAGGCGGUUUUGCAAGUCAGAAGUGAAAGGCUACGGCUCAACCGUAGUAAGCUUUUGAAACUGCAAGACUAGAGUUCAGGAGAGGUAAGUGGAAUUCCUAGUGUAGAGGUGAAAUUCGUAGAUAUUAGGAGGAACACCAGUGGCGAAAGGCGACUUACUGGACUGAUACUGACGCUGAGUACGAAAGCGUGGGGAGCGAACAGGAUUAGAUACCCUGUAGUCCACGCCGUAAACGAUGAAUACUAGGUGGUCGGGGGUCGAACCUCGGUGCCGCAGC
rnacentral:rRNA from 1 species